CGAAUGGCUCAUAAAUCAGUAUCGUUUAUUUGAUAGUACCUUACUACUUGAUAACCGUGGUAAUUCUAGAGCUAAUACAUGCUAAAACCCCGACUUCGGGAGGGGUGUAUUUAUUAGAUAAAAAACCAAUGCCCUCCGGGGCUCUUUGGUGAUUCAUGAUAACUUAACGGAUCGCAUGGCCUUGCGCCGGCGACGGUUCAUUCAAAUUUCUGCCCUAUCAACUUUCGAUGGUAAGGUAUUGGCUUACCAUGGUUUCAACGGGUAACGGGGAAUUAGGGUUCGAUUCCGGAGAGGGAGCCUGAGAAACGGCUACCACAUCCAAGGAAGGCAGCAGGCGCGCAAAUUACCCAAUCCCGACACGGGGAGGUAGUGACAAUAAAUACUGAUACAGGGCUCUUUUGGGUCUUGUAAUUGGAAUGAGUACAAUUUAAACCCCUUAACGAGGAACAAUUGGAGGGCAAGUCUGGUGCCAGCAGCCGCGGUAAUUCCAGCUCCAAUAGCGUAUAUUAAAGUUGUUGCAGUUAAAAAGCUCGUAGUUGAAACUUGGGCCUGGCUGGCCGGUCCGCCUCACCGCGUGUACUGGUCCGGCCGGGCCUUUCCUUCUGGAGAGCCUCAUGCCCUUCACUGGGUGUGUUGGGGAACCAGGACUUUUACUUUGAAAAAAUUAGAGUGUUCAAAGCAGGCCUUUGCUCGAAUACGUUAGCAUGGAAUAAUAGAAUAGGACGUGCGAUCCUAUUUUGUUGGUUUCUAGGACCGCCGUAAUGAUUAAUAGGGAUAGUCGGGGGCAUCAGUAUUCAAUUGUCAGAGGUGAAAUUCUUGGAUUUAUUGAAGACUAACUACUGCGAAAGCAUUUGCCAAGGAUGUUUUCAUUAAUCAGUGAACGAAAGUUAGGGGAUCGAAGACGAUCAGAUACCGUCGUAGUCUUAACCGUAAACUAUGCCGACUAGGGAUCGGGCGAUGUUAUUAUUUUGACUCGCUCGGCACCUUACGAGAAAUCAAAGUUUUGGGUCU
rnacentral:rRNA from 1 species